rnacentral:piRNA from 2 species
AGUCCAGGAGUUCUGGGCUGUAGUGCGCU